AGCAAGGAAUUUAAGGGGAAGGAGUUCAAGGACGCCUUGUGGGGUGCAGCUAUGGCACCCAAUGAAAUUCAAUUCAAGUACUACCUCCCUAUGAUCAGAGGAAUGGACGGACAAGCAAGCGAUUACAUUGAGAAAGUAGACCCAAAAAUGUGGUCACGCCAUGCAUUCCGAACCAGUAGUUGUACUGACAUCUUGUUAAACAACAUUGCUGAGAGCUUCAAUGCAUGGGUGUUGGAAGCUAGAGAUUACCUGAUACUGACUUGUUUGGAGACUAUAAGGUGGCAAAUUAUGAACCGGUUCAAUUAGAAGAGGGUUGGAGCAGCAAUUUCAACAAACGUAAUUUGCCCUAAGAUUGUGAAGAAGUUGGAGAGAAACAAGUUGGAGGCAAUGUAGCAGAGCUACAUUUGUCACUGGAUCAAUGAUAUGCGGUUUAAGGUUGACCACAGCCACGAGGCUCGGAGGGUCGUAGAUCUUACUCAAAGAACAUGCGGAUGUGGGAAAUGGCAACUUAAUGGUAUUCCCUGCCCACAUGUAGUAUGUGUCAUAUAUCUCAAUAAACUGGUCCCCGAGUAAUAUAUCAGUAAAUGGUACCUAAUGGACAUUUACAAAUAGUCCUAUGCCUUAGGUAUUAAUCCUAUGCCUAGAUUGGAUGACUAGCUUGUUGAUUGUGAUGAGGAUCCUAUCGAGCCACCCCCAAGGAAACAACGUCGGAGGCCAACAAAAAAGAGAAAAAUAGGACUUGAUGAGAGGAGCCAGAUGAAAGUGCUAAGGUCUGUCGCAAGGAGUAUGAUGUACGAUGUGAAAACUAUGGUCAAAAGGGCCACAAUGCUAGGAGUUACCGCCAACCAGAAAAUUCCAAUAGGAAGAAGUACUCCAAAAGGGUUAGGAAGCCGAAGGCAGAUAUUGAAGGACUUUUAAGGACAGUGUCACUUCCUAGGACAACUGAAGCUAUAGAUACGGUUGGUCAGCAACCGGAGGACAUCCCACCAACGGCAAGCGAACCGAGAAGAUCGAGACAAAGGCGAGUCUCUUCGGUAUACUAGAGGAAAUCAAGGCCUAGGGGAUUACAGCCACAACAGUCAAGUACAACUCAAUAGGGGUCCAGUUGUAAUUUUUUUGACACAUUAACACACCCUUAAUGUAAUGUGUUUUAUGAUGGUGUAAAUAGGGUUGGAUAGUUG